UUUCUCUCUCGGCGUCUCCUCAGGAGGGGAAGCGGCGGCGGUGGCGGCAGCUGGUGGGAGCUGAGGAGAGCCGAGGCCCGGGCUGCCUCCCGGGCUGCCUGCCGACCUCCCUCUCCGCCCGCCGGCCAUGGAGCUGGAGGCGCCCGAUGAGGCCGGCAGCGCCGCAGGGGCAGAGGCCGGGGCAGGAGCCCUCGACGCCGAGGCAGGAGGAGGGGGCGGCUGGGGGGCGCCGGUGCUGCUGGAGCCUCAGUCGGCCGGAGCAGGGCCGGCGAUGAGCAAGGCUGUCCUAACAGAGGCACCUUCGUUGACAGGGCAGCCGGGGGCCGGCCAGGGGAAGAAGAUAGGCCACCGCGGGGUUGAUGCAUCAGGCGAGACGACCUACAAGAAGACCACGUCCACCACGCUCAAGGGAGCCAUCCAGCUUGGAAUCGGCUACACAGUGGGGAACCUGAGCUCCAAGCCCGAGCGGGAUGUCUUGAUGCAAGAUUUCUACGUGGUCGAAAGCAUAUUCUUCCCCAGCGAAGGCAGCAACCUCACCCCAGCGCACCACUACCCCGACUUCAGGUUCAAGACAUACGCGCCCGUCGCUUUCCGUUACUUUCGAGAGCUGUUCGGCAUCCGCCCGGAUGACUACUUGUAUUCCCUGUGCAACGAGCCCCUGAUCGAGCUCUCCAACCCCGGGGCCAGCGGCUCCCUCUUCUACGUCACCAGCGACGACGAGUUCAUCAUCAAGACUGUCAUGCACAAGGAAGCGGAGUUCCUCCAGAAGCUGCUUCCUGGCUACUACAUGAACUUGAACCAGAAUCCCCGGACGCUGCUCCCCAAAUUCUACGGCCUUUACUGCGUCCAGUCUGGGGGCAAGAACAUCCGGGUGGUGGUGAUGAACAACAUCCUGCCCCGUGUGGUGAAGAUGCACCUGAAGUACGACCUGAAGGGCUCGACCUACAAGCGCCGGGCCUCCAAGAAGGAGAAGGAGAAGUCCAGCCCCACCUACAAGGACCUGGACUUCAUGCAGGACCUGCCCGACGGGAUCAUGCUGGACACGGACACCUUCAGCGCUGUGGUCAAGACUCUGCAGAGGGACUGCUUGGUGCUCGAAAGCUUCAAGAUAAUGGACUACAGCUUGCUUCUGGGGGUGCACAACAUGGACCAGCAAGAGCGGGAGCGGCAGGCGGACGGGGCCCAGAGCACCUCCGACGAGAAGCGGCCCAUGGGGCAGAAGGCCCUGUACUCUACCGCUAUGGAGUCCAUCCAGGGCGGAGCCGCCCGCGGGGAGUCCAUCGACACAGACGACACAAUGGGUGGCAUUCCAGCCGUGAACGGCAAAGGCGAGCACCUUCUCCUCCACGUGGGGAUCAUUGAUAUCCUCCAGUCUUACAGAUUCAUCAAGAAGCUGGAGCACACGUGGAAGGCUCUCGUCCACGACGGGGACACAGUGUCUGUCCACAGGCCCAGCUUCUAUGCAGAGAGGUUCUUCAAAUUCAUGACCAACACGGUGUUCAGGAAGAGUACCUCUCUGAGGGUCUCUCCCUCGAAGAAAGGGCGGAGUGCCUUGCUAGCCGUCAAGCCCUCUGGCCCUCUGGCCGCCUUUUCGGCAAGCCAGCUCCCCUCGGAGAAGGACGAAGCCCAGUACGACCUCCGAGGGGCCAGGAGCUACCCCACCCUAGAUGACGAAGGCCGGCCAGACCUGCUCCCUUGCACCCCUCCGUCCUUUGAAGAAGCCACCACCGCCUCCAUCGCCACUACCCUCUCGUCCACCUCUCUUUCCGUCCCCGAGAGGUCUCCUUCCGAGUCCUCGGAACAGCCCAGGUACAGGCGGCGUACACAGUCCUCAGGACAUGACGGGAGGUCUCGCGAACAGCUCCGGGCGGAAGACGACCUCCAGCAAAUCACGGUGGAACUGAAACCCAAGUGUGAUGUCGAGAUCGUGGUCCCAGACAUGGCUGCUGCAGGGUCAGGGGAGGCGACCUCUCUGGCUUGCGCCACAGUGCUGUCGAAGGCGCCCACAGAGGUGGAGACAGCCAGCCAGGCCUCCGAACCCGCCAGCCAAGCUUCGGACGAGGAGGACCUCCCUGUCCCGGAUAUAUAUUUUCCAGAGUCGGGUUCAGAGGACGAAGUCUAGGGAGGCUGAAUCAGGGAAAAAGUGAGUCUGGGUGCUUAAAAGUUGUGUGUGUGUGUGUGUGUGUGUGUGUGUGUGUGUGUGUGUGUGUGUGUGUGUUUGGAGUGGGCGCAGAUUCUCACGCUGAAUCUCAUCUGUUCGCUUUUCCCAAACCUGCUAGAACUUAGACCAGACAUGCCUCGGCCCUACCCCUCCAUGGCACCCUGUUUUUGCAUCUUGUUUUUGCAAUGCCCACCAUGCUUUUAAAUAAGGAGAAAAAGAGACUCAUUUCCCCAAGGAAGUGGCAAGGUUAAGGGCAGAAGUGGCUUCAGUAAGACAGGAAGUGACGCCAUGGUUUUUUUAAAAGCAAGACAGGAGAUACACCCUGCGCUCCAGUGUCCCAAGUCAAAUGGCCCCGGCACAUUAGGUCGUAUUCUUCCAGUUGUAUUCAGUCGUGACUGUCGGAAGAUUCAGGACCAAUAAGAGAAAGUCCUUCACGCAGUGCGUGGCUAAAACAAAUUUGGGCUGGUAAACUCCCUUGCACUUAAUUAAACUGGCAUCUUACUGAUGUCCUAGCUUUCUACAAGCAGGGAACUUUAAACGUGCGCGCGGUUAAACAUAGCGCAUCGUUAAACUGCGUAACGCCGCUGGCCGUCAACGUCCGCGGCUUCGAAAGAGGGUCGGUGCAAAUUUCACAGAGGAGCUGCUGUUGAAGGCUCCUAGCCACAAUUGCUAGGCUCUGCCUCCACGGCUAGGGGCAUCUGGUCGGCAGGAAGCUGGACCAGAUGGGCCACAGGGCUGAUCCAGCAAGCUCUCUCCUUGGGUUCCUAAUCCCUACUCGUAGACCCAUUGAAAGGAAAGACCCCUGGAAGGAAGCAGGAGGAGUUCAACUCCACUCCCUUGCGCAGUCCCACCUUGAAGGCCCGUCAUUCUCUAGCUGCCUCUGUGCCCCUCAGACUCUCAUGCUGAUCCCCUGCCCAGCUGGGGUCGGCUGGGGGGAGAUCCGGAGCUGUAUCCAACCAUGGCUACAUCCUCAUUAUGCAUUUGUCGCUUUAAGCAGUUGUGGCUUUCCCCAAAGAUUGCUGGGUACUGUAGUUUGUCGAGGGUUCUUAGGAAACCCCCCCCCUCUCAGAACUACAAUUCCAAGCAUUCCCUGGGAAAGGGUGGGGGGUUUAACCGCUGAGCCAGUCUGCCCGGUUCUGUGAGGGGAAUGAGAGCUUCUCCUAACAGCACCCUGACCAAACUACAGUUUCCAUGGAUCCCUUGGGGUGCAGGAAGCCACGACUGCUUGAAGCGAUGCUCUGAAUGCAUGGCUUGGGUGUCCCUUGUGUUCUGCCCGCAGUGGGGCUACUCUGAGUAGGACUGACACUCACUCCGGCCCUCUCCGGCGGCUUUUAGCUGAACAGUCUCAGCCCCAGAUGACUGGGUUUGGCCCCUUUCCUUGUGCCCCUCAGCGACUCCAGCCCAGCCCUUUCAGUUAAAGGGGGCAGUAGCACACACACCCUUGAUGGAUCCUGCCUUGGAUCUGCCUCCCCCCCUCUCUUGCCCCCCCUUCCUUUUCUCCUUUGCUUCUGCAGCAGCUUCUCCAAACAGCUGCAGGAGGGAAUCGGCUCCUGUUUUGCUUUUCGUUUCGUUCUUCUUUUUAAAAAAUCUGCGCUGUGUGGUUUGAAAUGCAUGUGAAGUGGAAACACAAUCUGCCUGGGUUGCUUUGUUCAUUAUAACAUUUGCUGUUUGGAAUUGGCCAUCUGGCAUUUGUGGACUGCUGUGUUUGUGACUUUCCCGGUUUUGGGGUUUUUUGUUUUUUUUGAGUGUGUCAUUCCUCCUCCCGCCAAAAAAAACCCAACCCAACAUUCUCCUGCAUUCAUUGGUUCUGCAACUGUGGGAGGCGUAGCUUCCCUGAGCAGAGCAAUAGCAACAUGCGUGCAUUCUUUCUUCAGUUCAGCCUUCCAGCUAGGAUUUGGAAAGAAAACUUGCCCCAAAUCCCGGGGGAGACCUGGCCAGUCAUCGUACACGAUACGGAGCUCGAGGAGCCCAAGGGGGUCAGCCUCUGUACAGUGGCACCUUGGUUCUCAAACUUAAUCCGUUCUGGAAGUCCAUUCGAAAACCAAAGCGUUCCAAAACCAAGGCAUGCUUUCUCAUAGGAAGCAAUGCAAAACGAAUUAAUCCGUUCCAGACUUUUAAAAACAACCCCUAAAACAGCAAUUUAAGAUUAAUUUUACUAUCUAACAAGACCAUUGAUCCAUAAAAUGAAAGCAAUAAUACUGUACUAUAAAAUAAGACAGUAUUGUAGAUGAUGAAAAUGAAAAUUUAUUUUCCCCCCUUCUUCCCUGCACUGAUGAUAGUCAUUGUUUGGAGGGGGGGCUUUUAUCCAUUUCCGCAGUCGCACAAUCAAUCAAUCAAUCAAUCAAUCAGUAGCUGAACUGGGUUCCACACAGUCACAAAAACAAAUUAUCCGAAAAAGCCUCAAAAACAAAAACGCAAAAUAAAUAGCAAAAACAAAAGCACCAAACUCAAUCCGUUCCGGAAGUCCGUUUGACUUCAGAAAUGUUUGAAAACCAAGGCGCAGCUUCUGAUUGGUGCAGGUGCCCUGGAAACAAUAGCCAACAGCAGCGUUGGACGUUUGGCUUCCAAAAAUAGUUCGAAAACCGAAACACUUACUUCUGGGUUUUUGGAGUUUGAGAACCAAAGCGUUUGAGAACCAAAGCGUUUGAGAACCAAGGUACCAUUUGCUUCUAUCCAGUUUUAGAAACUCUGAUAGAUAAGCUAAUUGUCAAACGGCACCUUAAAUCGAGAUUGCGGUUGCUGCAACCGCAAUGUCUGGGUGCCGUUUUCUUUCUCCAGUGAAGCUUGUUGUUGUUAUUCAUUUCAUUUCCAGACCGCUUUAUGUUUUAAAGAAAAGAACCUCAAAGCGGUUUAUCGAAACAUCGCAUAAAACAAUCCAGAACGAAACCAAUUCAAGCUUUAAGGAAAAUAUUUUCCAUCCUUCUCUAAGGGGCAUUUGGCUUUACCUACUUAAUUUAUAGAGCUUUCCUUGUAGCAGAAGAACUCUAGGAAGCUAGUGGGGUGUAGUGGUUAGAGCAGGGGUCAGCAAACGUUUUCAGCAGGUGGCUGGUCCACUGCCCCUCAGACCUUGUGGGGGGCCGGACUAUAUUUUGGGGGGGAAAUGAACGAAUUCCUAUGCCCCACAAAUAACCCAGAGAUGCAUUUUAAACAAAAGGGCACAUUCUACUCAUGUAAAAACACGCUGAUAAUUUAGAAGGUGUUUGGGCCAGAUCCAGCCCCGGGCCUUAGUUUGCCUAAGAGAGACUAGGAGCUGGGAGGCCCGGGUUCGAAUCCCCACUCCCCCCAUGAAGCUCACUGGGUGACCUUGGAGUCUGCUGCUGCCUCCUAGCCUACCUCGCAGGGUGGUUGUAGGUAUUAACUGAGGAGGGGGUGAACCAUGGACUCCUUGGAGAAAAAGCUGGGAGAUAAAUACAGAGAAUCCCCCAGGCGCUAGCUAUGUUUUGCGACUGGUGCGGGUCCAGUUGCAACCACAUGGAGAUCACUGAGUGCCAGGCUGGCGACUGACAGCUCUCUUGGCUGGUCCCUGCAGCUUUCUUCAGCAGCUCAGCAGAAGAGCUAUUACCUUCAGGCGAAGGUCUGUCCUCAGCGAGGUAGUUACUGGACUCAGAUGGGCUGUUCCGAUUCCUUAUAAGCAGGGCUGCUUGCAUAGAGCCUUGUCCUUUGGAGUCAAAGAGCUGCGAAUUCAAAUUCAGAUUAGGCCCAUAGGGCAGAUUUACACCACCCGUCCUUCCUCCCCCUCUCCCUUGGCUGGUUUCCCCCAUCUUCACCCACCCAGCCCUGUCCUGCAACAACUGCCCUCGCGGGAAACCUGAUUUGCUUCACGGAUUUACGGCUCAUUUUGUGCACAGAUAACAAAAUCUUGGCUUCUCAGAGGUGCGAGGGCUUGUUGGUGAGAAGGGGAGACAUUUCCUGGGUCGGGCAGCAGCGCUGACUCCCAGGGCCCCUCUCUUUGGGCUUAUUUGAGCGAGUGUGUGUCUGUCCUUCCGCAAAUUUGCCUGGUAACUCGAGCAAAAGCCGGCCCCUUCUCCAGGAGGGGUUUUCAAGCAGGUGGCACGGCUGCAGAGCCCGUUGCUGAUUACAAGGAGUGCUUUUGGACCUUGAUUUUGUUUGUUUGUUUGGGUGUCGACCUGAGCUGCAUCCCUGCAUGCCUUCCUGCAAAUGGGGUGUGUGUGUGUGUCGUCCCCUGCCGCAACAACAUCUUCCUCCAUGCAACUGAGCUCCAGCAAAACCUUUUCCAUGCAGCUGAGCUCCAGCAAGUCCUCCUCUUCCCAUACAAAAACUGCCUCCAUCAGCUUUUCUCUCUGUUUCAUGAUCAUUCAUUCUCACCCCUUCCAGCAUCAUCUUUUUUCUUUUUCUUUCUCCACCUCCCAUUCAUCCUUUCCCAUCUCCCUUUCUCUGCUUGCUUUCUUAUUUCCCCCUCCUCUUCCACCCCCAACCCCCCAAAAAAUCUUCCAUCAUCUGCCCUGCCGUGCGCCACCCAGUUCACAGACGGACGGUACUGGAUUUAUUCCCCCCGCCUGCGCAGGCUCCGAGCGGCCUCUGUUUCCUCUGUGGACGUAAGUGAAAUUUGCUGGCGGCGCUCAGCUACAGCUUCGAAAUGCCCAGGGGCUGUGGUGGCGGAGGGACCCCCCUUUUUCCUUGAGGCCGAUGUCGCUCACGGUGCUAAGCUAGCCGGCCCUAACACGAACAGCUAGUUUAUAUAGUUGCGUUGCAGUAUUUCUACAACCGCCCUGUAAGGUAGGUCGGUAUUCUCCCCAUAUUGUAGAUGGGGAAAACUGAGGCUGAGGCAAGAUGGGGGAAAGCCGGUGGUUUCAUAGUGAGUUCACGGCAGACUCUUCCUAAUUCAUCGUUCAGGUUUCCCCAAGCAGCUAUCAAGGCCAGCUGUGUUGGUCUUUCCCCACGGCAGAAAUUCUUUUGUUUCUGUUGCAAGGUAGUAGAGAGCGAAUUCUUGGUGGUAUGCAGGGAGGAAAGUCAGUUGAGGGAUGCGUACACGCACAUAUAUAGAGAAUCUAUUUCAGUAUUGAGUCGGGGAGACUCAGAAACCUCCCUUGGCAGCCCAGAGCUUCAUUGCCCCUCUAGUAGCACCCAUAGAUUUUGGAAGUGGGGCGCAGAUAACCUGUGUGGCCCUCCCAAGAACUUUUGGACCCCAGCAGAGCACGAGACUUCAUCUGAGGGUCGUGGGUUCAAGCCCCACGUUGGGCGAGAUAUUUCCUGCAUUGCAGGGGGUUGGACUGGAUGACCCUCAGGGUCCCUUUCGACUCUACGGUCAGGGCUGCUGGGAACUGUAUUCCUGUGGGCCGCUUCUCUUUGCGUUAGAAGAAGGCUUAUACUGGUUUGCCUGCAAAGCCUUGCUUGUUGCUUUCUAGAAGUUAGGGGCGUGUGCUUGUAUGUGUUGAGGGUUGGCCUAGCUUAAAAUCGAGUUAGUUGCCUCUCCAGCUUAGUUGCUUCGCCUUCUCUGUCAGCUGCCUUUGUUUUCUUGUGUAUCCUUUAUAAUAAGCUUCGGGCAGGUCUGUCCCUGGCAAUUCCUGGGACACGGCCGGAGCGCUUGGCAGGAAACAGCUGCGCUUUCCACGGCUCCCCCGAGGCUGUUAGAGAGACAACUGGGUGCUGGACUUAGGCGGGCCACCAGCCUGAUCCAAAAGGCUCUUACUUUUUGGUUUGCAUUUGUAAUAAAACGUAAUAAAGGAGAAAUAACAGAUGCUGAAUAAAACAAGAGGGGGGGGGAAAUCCGGAACUUAAACAUACAGGAGCAGAUUUCCAUACCAAAAUCAAGCACGAGAAAUGAACAUUGCAAGGUUCACAGCUGGGUUUACAUUAUCCUGUAUCUUAUUACUCCGGUACGUAAUAAAAAGACUCCUUAAUAAAGACGUUGUCUUGUUGCCGGCUCUCGACAUAUACACCAGCUUAAUUGUACGUACCAUUUCCUAGUUUUUUAUUUAUUCAUUCAUAUAUAUAUAUAUAUAUAUAUAAUUUCCAGCAGGUAACAACCAUUCCAAAUGUUUCUGCAAAUGAUAAUUCUGGCAUUGGUUAAGAGACGUCGUGUGAAUUCCCUUGCCCUCUGUUGGCACAGUUUCUUUUAACAUAGCCGAAUAGUUAAAUUAUAGAGGAGUGUGCAGCCAGUUAAUGCUUCUAUGGCUAAAUCUCCCCAGAAUUUUCUGCCGUAUCCCUGCUGUUGUGCUUCCAGCAGGAAUCAUCUGUGCUGUAUUCCUAGUUAAGACGUUUGCAGAGCAGAAACUUGUGUUGUUUUGCAGAAGGGGGGGGGCUCCUGUCUCCCCUCUCGAGGCCAGCGGAUAGAGAAGCCGCAGCCCUAAAAUAUCCGAAAGGCACCCCUUUGUUUGGAGGAAGGCUGGCCUGUGCUCUGUGCUCUCUCUCUUUCUCUUUCCUGCUGCACAGUUGUGCUCCUAACUGUCCUUAUUCUCAUCUGUCUCUCUCUCUUUCUCUUUCUUCGUUUUCCUUUCCUGCCUGCCUUUGCUCUUGCUUUGCUGUGCAGCAGCCAACAGACGAAAGGAGCUGGGUGUAUUCGCCGCUCCAUUAUAACACUCAGAUCCACUCGGUCUCUGACGAGGAGAGCGAUACAUAACUUCUAUGCAAAGCCCCCAACCCCAAGAAACAAAUCGUCCUUCUUGCCACCAGUCGCGGAGUCCCCUCUCGCCCGGCCCUGCUGCCGCUCUGCUGGGACGGGAGAGGGUGGCGUCGGCGUCACACCUCCUGGAUCCCGACUCAGCCCCGGGGAAGACAGGAAGAAAAACCUCCGUCAACUGUGUCUCGUUCUCUCCCUCCUUCCCCCCCCCCAAAUGCAUAUUUAUCUCCAUCUAAGCAGCGACCUGUAAACAGCUCCUCCCACUUGGGCGUGUGUAUCAAGUUGGGAAAGGGCCCCUUAAUUCUGGGUAGUGACCAAUUUAUACAUAUAUAUCCCCCCCCUCAAAGUGCACUAUAUUGUAGCUACCUAUCUGUAAGUGAUACUGUGAACUUUCUCUCUCUUUGUUUUAUUUUUUAAAUCAUGUAUUUAUUUUUUUCAUCCUUGCACAGAAUUGUAGCACUGUCGUGCUUUUUUUUUUAAGAAUUAUUAUUAAGGAACAGUUCACUGAACUUUCGGGGGCACGAAGUGGGGGGGGCAUCGUCAUGAACCUGCGUGGUUGGUCACCUGGGUGGCCGCGUCGUCGUCGUCCCCGGAUUCCCUGGGAGGUGGGGAACAGCUUUUCGCUCAGAAAGUGGGGAGAUCAAGGAGCGCCCAAGGGACUCAGCGUGGUCAGAAAUGCUGCUGUGCCAGGCAAGGUGCAGAACCCAGAAGCAGUCGUUUUGGCUCCCUUGAGCCAUUCAUUCAAACAUUAAGCAUUCUGUGUGUGUGUGUUUGUGUGUCAGUUUUGGGCCGGACCUUCUCUCCCCCCCAAAUCCGCAGGGGUUCUUCAGCCCAUGAGCGAAGGCUUCUGCCGAGCACCUGCGCGCAGCUGGCCCGGCCCAGAGAUCUCGGCGAGAUGGUGUCGUGCCUGGCGGGGGGGAUGAGAGACAGCCCCUCUCCUUGCCUCUUACCAUGUUGAUCUGCGUUCCUGAAAGAAGUGCGGUGAGGGGGUCCCCUGUUUCGGUGGCCAAAGGCAGCUCACUUCCACCAAAGGUUUGGGUGGCGUUUUUGCACGGCUCCACAUCGUAUCGACUUUGGAGGACCUUGCACCCCACAAGAGAAGGCUCUGCCACGCCUCCGAGUGUUAACCAGAGUUGGUUAUCGCCACAGGAUGCAACAGGCAGAGGAAGAGCUAUCUGGCGAGGCUUUGCAAGAGAGGCAGGCGAAGCGAGUUUGGGAGUUUGAACAGCUUUUUUCUCUCUCUUUAAAAAUUCUCCUUCCUAACAAUUUCUGCCCACCUGGUCUUUGGGACAGAACCGGUUUGAGCGUCUCACACGCUGCUCUUUGAAACUGAGACCCCAGGUAGCACGAAUCGCGGUUCCUUCGGAUAUGGGCGGAAGGAGAGGAGGCCUGUCGCAUGCCGGAACGGCAGGCGGCAUUACAAAUCCAGCCCUCCGAUGCUCUCCUGACAUUUUGGGCUGCAACUGCCAUCGGCUCCCCUGCCAGACAGCUGGUGGGAGUUGCAGUUCAAAGCUUCUUGAAUGUUUCUCGAAGGCUGCCCCACGCACGUCCCUGAAAAGACGGCGAAGGCAAGCCAUUUUCGCAGCCGAGGCUUCGUUAGCUUGCCUGUGCGUACGCUUGCUUGCUCGCUCACUCGCCGUCUGUUUUGUUUGCACAGACAAAUGCCCUUUUGGGGAAGCAGUUUCCUUAAAUAGCCCUUGAGAAACGAAAGGUCUUUUCAUUUCUCAGCACAGCCUUCAAGAGAAAA